rnacentral:ncRNA from 1 species
GUAGUUGGAUUUCGGGUGGGGUGGUGCGGUCCGCCUCUGGUGUGCACUGCUCUGCUCCACCUUCCUGCCGGGGACGGGCUCCUGGGCUUCACUGUCUGGGACUCGGAGUCGGCGAGGUUACUUUGAGUAAAUUAGAGUGUUCAAAGCAGGCCUACGCUCUGAAUACAUUAGCAUGGAAUAACACGAUAGGACUCUGGCCUAUCUGUUGGUCUGUGGGACCGGAGUAAUGAUUAAGAGGGGUAGUCGN